CUUGUACUCCCUCCGUCCAAAAAAGCUUGUCCCUCAAAUGGAUGUAUCUAGCACUAACUUGAUGGUAGAUACAUCCAUUUGAGGGACAAGCUUUUUCGGACGGAGGGAGCAGAUU
rnacentral:pre_miRNA from 1 species